rnacentral:rRNA from 1 species
CAGCAGCCGCGGGAAUACGGAGGGUGCAAGCGUUAAUCGGAAUUACUGGGCGUAAAGCGCACGCAGGCGGUCUGUCAAGUCAGAUGUGAAAUCCCCGGGCUUAACCUGGGAACUGCAUUUGAAACUGGCAGGCUAGAGUCUUGUAGAGGGGGGUAGAAUUCCAGGUGUAGCGGUGAAAUGCGUAGAGAUCUGGAGGAAUACCGGUGGCGAAGGCGGCCCCCUGGACAAAGACUGACGCUCAGGUGCGAAAGCGUGGGGAGCAAACAGGAUUAGAUACCCGGGUAGUCCCUGUCUCUUAUAC